AUAACAUCAAAAAAGAUAAAGAUACACCAAGAAAAUUAAAAUGCUUUUUUUCAAAACUGAAAUUUUAUAAUCUCGCAUAAUAAUUGAAAUAUCGUUGAAAAAUGUCAACUGUCUGCAAUCAUGAAAAUCAUUAUCUUCAAUAACAAGGAGACAAAGUUCCUAAUAUUUUUGAAAAUUAGUGUUAAUUAAGCUUCAAUCAACAUCGUCUCAGCUAUGAAUUGAGGAAAUAAUAAAAUGACCAAGGCUGUACAAAGUUAUAAACAUCGGAUAUAUUUACGAAAUGGAAAAUUUAUGCAGGAUAAUUUUAAACAAUGAAACUAUACAUAUGUACGAUACUGGUGAAUUAUCUUUGUAUAUAUAGAAGCUAAAAAAAUUCAACUGUAAG